rnacentral:rRNA from 1 species
CCUACGGGAGGCAGCAGUGGGGAAUAUUGGGCAAUGGGCGCAAGCCUGACCCAGCAACGCCGCGUGAAGGAAGAAGGCUUUCGGGUUGUAAACUUCUUGUAAGAGGGAAGAGCAGAAGACGGUACCUCUUGAAUAAGCCACGGCUAACUACGUGCCAGCAGACGGGGUAAUACUUAGGUGGCAAGCGUUGUCCGGAUUUACUGGGUGAAAAGGGCGUGUAGGCGGGACUGCAAGUCAGAUGUGAAAACCACGGGCUCAACAUGUGGCCUGCAUUUGAAACUGUAGUUCUUGAGUACUGGAGAGGCAGACGGAAUUCCUGGUGUAGCGGUGAAAUGCGUAGAUAUUAGGAGGAACACCAGUGGCGAAGGCGGUCUGCUGGACAGCAACUGACGCUGAGGCGCGAAAGCGUGGGGAGCAAACAGGAUUAGAUACCCGUGUAGUC